rnacentral:lncRNA from 1 species
UCAGUCAAAACUUCACAUUCUAUAAAUAUAGCUCAGUCAAGAUCACAUUCUCACCAAGCAAAAACUCAAAACUUCACAUCUUUAGGAGUAGCAUCAAUAUUCAAGAUGGUUCUCCAAACUCAACUUGGGUUGAACAAGCACCAAUCCUACGCUCACGAACAAAACUACUAUUCCGACAGCAGCCAUGGCGGCUCUAUGCAAAUGACAAGGCCUUCGGGCUAUUCGACCUUGCCAUAUGAUCAGUCCACUCACAAUCACAUGAUGAUGGGUCAUGGUGGCCAACACCAUGGCGGACCCUUUGGCGGUCAUGGCCAUGGCCAUGGCGGACAGUAUGGUAGUCAUGGACAUCAUGGGGCGCAUAUGCCCCAUCACUCCGCCAACUUUUCAAGCAGC